CCCAAAACAAACCUAAACCAUUAUUUUCGUUAAAAGGGUUCCAGUAAAAGAAACUUCUUGCAAUUCUUCGCAUAGUCCAAAAAACGUAGUUGAGAAUUGACCAUCCUUGUUUAAUUUCAGGCAUGAUAUGAUGAAACGGUGCUGGAAUUUUAACCCUGACUUCCGUCCUCCAUUUGAAAACCUGCGACAAAGAAUGGACAAAUACAUUCAUGAAGAGACAUAUGAGGAACUACUUAAUCUGGGAGCUUAUGACAAGAAAAAAUACUCCAGGGUUGAAGAUCUUGGAGUUGAAGAUGCAGGACCGAGUGAGGAAGUUGCAAAGAAGGCUGCUGC